GACGAACCGUGCGAACGUUAUUCGGAAUUACUGGGCUUAAAGCGCGUGUAGGCGGGCCGGCACGUCCGACGCUGAAAGCCCCGGCUCAACCGGGGAAGUGGCGGGAUACGACCGGCCUCGAGGGGGUAGAGGGACCUGGAACUUCCGGUGGAGCGGUGAAAUGCGUUGAGAUCGGAAGGAACGCCCGUGGCGAAAGCGAGGUCCUGGACGCCUACUGACGCUGGAGAACGGACGA
rnacentral:rRNA from 1 species